GUUGAAGCGGGAAAAGCUCAAAUUUGAAAUCUGGCAACAUUUCUUUUGUUGUCCGAGUUGUAAUUUCAAGAGGCUGCUUUGAGUGUACACGAUUUACCUAAGUUCCUUGGAACAGGACGUCAUAGAGGGUGAGAACCCCGUCUUUGGUAAAUUGGGCGUAUGCCGGAUAAAGCGCUUUCGAAGAGUCGAGUUGUUUGGGAAUGCAGCUCUAAAUGGGUGGUAAAUUUCAUCUAAAGCUAAAUAUUGGCGAGAGACCGAUAGCGAACAAGUAGAGUGAUCGAAAGAUGAAAAGAACUUUGAAAAGAGAGUUAAAUAGUACGUGAAAUUGCUGAAAGGACGAAGCAUUGGAAACCAGUCUUACCCGGGUGAGAUCAGUUGUCUUUUCGCAAGACAAUGCACUCUGAACCUGUUGGUAGGUCAGCAUCAGUUUCUGGGGGUGGAAAAAGGAUUUAGGAAGGUACCUUUUCGGGUUUUGCUUGAAGAGGGUUUAUAGCCUAGAUUGUAAUACAUCCACUGGGGACUGAGGACUGCGAUCUUUAUGGUCAAGGAUGUUGACAUAAUGGUUUUCAAUGACCCGUCUUGAAACCACAGGACCCAAA
rnacentral:rRNA from 1 species